rnacentral:rRNA from 1 species
AACGAACGCUGGCGGCAUGCCUAACACAUGCAAGUCGAACGAAGCCUUCGGGCUUAGUGGCGCACGGGUGCGUAACGCGUGGGAAUCUGCCCUUGGGUUCGGAAUAACAGUUAGAAAUGACUGCUAAUACCGGAUGAUGUCUCCGGACCAAAGAUUUAUCGCCCAAGGAUGAGCCCGCGUAGGAUUAGGUAGUAGGUGGGGUAAUGGCCCACCAAGCCGACGAUCCUUAGCUGGUCCGAGAGGAUGAUCAGCCACACUGGGACUGAGACACGGCCCAGACUCCUACGGGAGGCAGCAGUGGGGAAUAUUGGACAAUGGGCGAAAGCCUGAUCCAGCAAUGCCGCGUGAGUGAUGAAGGCCUUAGGGUUGUAAAGCUCUUUUACCAGGGAUGAUAAUGACAGUACCUGGAGAAUAAGCUCCGGCUAACUCCGUGCCAGCCGCCGCGGUAACAC